UCCUUCGUGGUGUAGUGUUUAGCACGUUGGACGCAUAUUCCAGAGUUCCGUGGUUCGAGUCCCGGCGAGGGCA
rnacentral:tRNA from 1 species